AUACUUACCUGGUGCUGAGUCGGCGGUGAGCACACAGGCCGCGGCCCCGUGCAGAGGCCUCUCCACUGCACUGCGGUUGGCUGAAGCACGCCACUUCCCCUAGUAGGGGUAGCUGGAGCAUGCAAAUGUUUGUAGUGGGACUAGGCAUGCGCGCCAGCCCCCA
rnacentral:snRNA from 1 species